rnacentral:misc_RNA from 1 species
UCCGGUUCAUCACCGGCAGUCUCCUUAGAGUCCCCAACUAAAUGAUGGCAACUAAGGAUAAGGGUUGCGCUCGUUACGGGACUUAACCCAACAUCUCACAACACGAGCUGACGACAGCCAUGCAGCACCUGUCUCUAGGUUCCUUUCGGCACUCCAACCUCUCAGUCGGAUUCCUAGGAUGUCAAGAGUAGGUAAGGUUCUUCGCGUUGCAUCGAAUUAAACCACAUGCUCCACCGCUUGUGCGGGCCCCCGUCAAUUCCUUUGAGUUUCAACCUUGCGGCCGUACUUCCCAGGCGGAAGACUUAUCGCGUUUGCUUCAAUACUGAUAGGUUCCCCUACCAACAUUUAGUCCUCAUCGUUUACAGCGUGGACUAC